rnacentral:lncRNA from 1 species
UUCCAUUUUAUACCUGUUUUCAAGAGUUCUGUUUUCUAAUAAUGUGGUUAAUAUCUCUUGUCCAGUAUAAAUUUUCAUGAAACAAAACAAUACCGAAUUGUAAUACUCACGCUGUAUAAUUUGGAGUUUAAGUUUUGUUUCGAGAUGUUAUGUCUGCAAGUGUUGCUAUAUUUUACUCGGAACAAAUGUUGCAUUCAUCUCUGUUCUCACUAACUCUACAGUGAAAUUAAAAUUCGUUAUUAGCUAUUUUCUGUAGGUUUUAUUGUGAAUUAUCCGUAUGUUUUUCAUCUAUAUUUUUCAGCGUGCAUUAUUUUUUUUAAUGUUUUUUUUGUAUUUUUAGUUUAUUUGUUCGUUGAUUUUGGUGUUGGUAUUGUGAUUGAUGUGUGCCCUUAUUUCCAUUUUCCUCUCUAGGUUUUCCCUCGAUUUAGUUCGGUGUGAUCUCCUUCUCGUUUCUGACUGCAUUUUGUGUGUUUAUUCGUAUUUAAAUUUUUUUUUUCUUGGAUUUAUGUAUAUGCCAGGCACCCCAAACACUGGACAGUGGUGGGCCUUCGUGUCUUCAAUACUUAUAUUAUGUGGACAAGUGGCCUGAAGAUGAAGUCAAUGUAAGUAAAGUAUCUAUUCAUGUUAAUUUCACCCUAAGCGAGAGAAUCUAGGUACCACUUUAAGGGCUGAGAACCUCACAUUUUCAAAGAAUCUUUCAAAGUAUGUAUAUACUAUGUAUUGCACUAAUUACAGUGUCUGUGUUUUUUUUUCAUAGGCUUUGAAGCUGUUGAGUGCUUCUUUGUGUACUAAUAAUGUUCUUACCGACGUCUUCCUCAAUUGCACAAGUACUUCAAAGAAAUGUGGAUGUAAGAGAAAAACUUCACUGGGUUAGGUGGGCAAACUGAUAAACAGGAGCAGAAAAUGGAGCGGUCCUUCAAAAAAGUUUGGUUUCCCUUAUUGGUAAUAGGUAAGAGUUUUUUUUUUCCUAUAAUUAUGAGUACUGAAAUGACCAUCUUGCCCUUUGCUUGGAAAAAUUGCUACUUCUUCCAAGUUUUUUUGUUUUCUAAAAUGAGAAGAUUCGUUGAUUUUAUUAUGGCUGCUGUCUAAUGAAGGAUUAACGAUGUCGAAAUUAUUGUUAUGUGCAGAAUAUUGUACUUUAUGAUGCUCGUAACAGGUUUAUUAUAAUGGCAUGCCAACAUGUUUGUGGUCUUUUUGACAAUUCAAUUUUGUCAUACAGUAGUCGAAUUAUGCACCCCCUGCUAUAACCAUAAAGUUUACUUUCCAUUUUGCUGGUUUUUUUGAUAAGUUAUUCUAAUUCUACUAACAUUGGGAAUAGAAGAACCUAUAAUUAGUAUAGUAUAAGGUUUCUUCUCCUAUUACUUUUACAUGUUUUUAUUAGUGAAGUGUGUUCUGCCUUUUUAUGUAUUCUUGGCAUCGGUUUGUUUACUCUUGGUUUGUGAAAGAAUAAAAAAUGAAAGGCUUCACCCGGGCGAGCCUUAUAGAGAAGGAGUAAAGUCACUUUUGCCCUGUCUCCUUUUCCCUCUUCAUUCUUUCUUGCUCUGCCGUAUAGAUAGAUGUAUUCGCUAGUGGCUUUGAAUUUAUAUCGAGUUUGUGUUGAUUGAAUUUCACGACAAAUGCAGAGGCGCAAACAGUUUAGGCUGGGCAAGGAAACGGAAAGGGCUGUAGUGAUCAUUGGAGAGGUUUAAGGACAUCAUGAAUUUUCUUUGUGGCGCAUUGAGAGACAGGUACUUACAUACUUAUAAGAUUUAUAUUCCUUCCUUGAUAUAUCCCGUUCAUUAUGCAUGAUACAUUUUUUGUUAAGAAACAACAAAUGGAAGGAAUAAUUGAAGGGGAAAAAUGACCAUUGUUAUGUUGGUUAAGAUUAGAUUUGUCUUUUCUAUGUGCUCUCUAAUUACGGUGUUAAUUCCUUCUCUUCAUAGAUAAGCUUAAGAUUAAAUGCCCAAAUUCCACUAAUUGUUUGUCGUUUUUUCUUCCCUUUAGAAACGCAUAAAGAAUGGCAAGUAAUGAAGUGGCUACUAUUGCAUCUGAUAUUUCCGUUCCAGAUAUGCAAAAUUUUUUUGCAAGAAGGGGCCUCCCAUACAACUUCAAUGAUGACGUGGAAUUCCAGAAUACCCUAAAAAGUGGAUAUGACCUCAUCGUACUCCUCUGAGAAGCUAGCAAAUGCAGAGAAUCUUUACUAAAGUCUUAGCAGGCGAAAAAGAUAUCGAAGCCAUUGAUUUCCAGAACGAUAACAUCUGAGCGGGAUUUAUCGAAAAGGCUUUCACAUUUGAUCUACUGUACGCCAUACUGAAUCUUGAGCUAGAUGGACAAUCUUACAGCCGAUCUUCAAGACUUAUUGUCGUUGCCCUUAAUAUCUCUCUCCGUAAAUUCGAAGAAUUACUUAAUGGGCUGGGAAGUAAAUUGCACGAUUCCAAGGAUUUAUUAAAACAGUCACAAGAGCGUAUUCAUCUUCAAACCAAACGAAUGUAAGUCAUUAACAAAUUUUCUUGCUGUCCCAUGUAGAUGCAUUUGAAUCAAUGUAGUCAAAAUCCAGAUCUAAAUCGUAAAAUCGUAAGACUUUAAGAUUUUACAAACUGAAAAGGAGUAAGAUCGCACUAAAAUCGCAAGUGCCUUGAAAUCGUGUGAAAUCGGGUUCAAAAUCGUUAAAAACCGAUUUUAGUGCGAUUUUGGCGAUUUUGGUUUGUACAUACUUGAUUUCUUCCGCUCUUUGGACAUACCUGAUCUCAGAAUUAGGGCUCUUCGCGAAUUGGGGGUUUUGUAGAUUGAGUUCGAAUUUGGUGGUUUUAGUAUAAUCGAUUCUGAAAUCCACUAUUGACCUAGGAUUAAUGUGUAACUGAGGUUUAAUUAGACAAUCUGAUACCUAAUUGUUGUUAUUUGGGUACGUGAUUAGUUUUUGGCUUAAUUAAGGAAACCAAAUUGGGGGAUUUUGAUGUUUAGACCUAGUCGAUCAUUUGAUUUGGGAAUUUGGACUUCUUGUUAUGAAUCAUGGCCUGAAUUGACGUUUUCUAGUUUCUGAAUUAAGUCGUGAACUGAUUCUUAGCAUGAAAUAAAAUUAUGAGUACUGAAAUGACCAUCUUGCCCUUUUGCAUGCAAAAAUUGCUAUUUCUUCCAAUAUUAUGGCUGCUGUCUAAUAAAGGUUUCAUGAUGUCGAAAUUAUUGUUAUGUGCAAAAUUUUGUCAUACAGUAGUCAGAUUAUGCACGCUCUGCUAUACUUUGGAUUUUGCUAGUUUCUUUAAUUAUUCUACUUACAUUGGAAAUAGAAGAACCUUUAAUUACUAUAGUAUAAUGUUUCUUCCCCUAUUACUUUACACGUUUUUAUUAGUGAAGUGUGUUCUGCCGUAUAGAUAGAUGUAUUUGCUAAUGUCUUUGAAUUCAUAUCGAGUUUGUGUUGAUUGGAUUUCACAACAAAUGCAGAGGGGCCAAAUAGUAUAGGCUGCACAAGGAAAAAGGAAAUGAAGAAAGCAAUGAAGGACGGAAAGCCAAUUAUUAUUGAGGCAAGUCAGAUCCGGCUAAAUUGCUAUGUAUGUCUCUUAUUUACAUGCUCGUAAUUGUUGCCAGUUCUUUAUAUUUUUCUUUCAUCUGCAUUAUUGACAACUUAUCUAUCACUUUUAAGCACUUCAUGUCUUUAUACGCUAAAGACUGAACCGUUUAGAGAUUUUAUCAAGUCUAAGAAAAUGAACACUUGUUUUAUAUUUGUACUGAACGCACUGCAGUAUCAGAGUUGUAUUUAAUUCAAAGUAUUUUGGUAAUUCAAAGUAGUUGCAUUCAUCUAUGCUGAAAAGAAAAAAGUAGUACUGACAGCAUUUUCCAGUGUCUUCAUGUUCCUCUUUCUUCUCAGAGAUAUGCUCUGAUAUAUUAGCUUGUGGAAUGCAACUAAUAACUUGUGCUGGUAUGCUGAUAUAUGUCAUUUUUUUGCAACAAUUACAGGGCAUACAUUUGGAUCCUAGUAUUUACUUGACUUGAUGGAUGAUGAAAAUAAAUCAUCGACCAACUUACCAGCAAAAGAUGAAGAGAAGUGCUCAGCAAAAGAUAAAGCAAAAGAUGAAGAGAAAUGCUCGAAAAGUAAAAAGUGGAAGCUCAACCGAGAAUAUACUGCUCCAUCUGCUGCUAAUCAGAACAAUGACAAUAUUUCCACUCAAGAGUGCGGAAAGCAAUAUCUGGUGUGGAUAUGGUUUCGGGUGCUCUAAAAUCUUUGAGUGUAGGUGGCAGCAUACCUGACUCUAAAGGUGAAAAAUCUCAUUCUAUACUGUAAUUUCCUUGUAAAAGAUAAUUUUUCCUUUGUUUUUUUUUCCUUUCAACUUUACAGGUCAGCUCUAACUUCUCAGUGUCUUAACAGGUGAAAUGGUAACAAAUGCUGGCACAACUGAGGCUCCCAAAGUCAAUAAAGGCAAGGCUGGUCCUGAACCUAUUAUUAUUCCUAUAAUCCUAAAGAUGGCUGAGUUUGAUCAUAAGGUGCGUCUGAAAUUGCUUGUGUUGAAAGGCGUAAAGUCUAUAUAGCUUAAAACUUACCUCUUCAACAUGACCUGAAGAUUUGAAAUCCGUAUACUGGCUGUGUGCAAGAAUGUCAUAAUAGAUAAAACAAUGAGCAACAAUUAAAAUCUUCAAAAAUUGGAAGUAGGAUUGAUUAAUGUAAGGUCAACAAUUUUGUUCUAACAUACAAGACCGGAUAUUAUGAUGGGUUGACGAAUUCAAGAAUUUUUUCUAUUGCGUUGACACCAUAUUUUUUGGUGGAAUUUUGCCUUAAAUAAGUUAACUAUUUUUCACAGGCUUUGCUAGAGGAAUGGGUAUCUGCUCGUAGCAGUGAUAAAUACCCAAUACAGGUUGGUACCAAGAACUCUAAUGGAAGCAUAAUUACUUUGUUCCUCACUUGCCAGCUUCUCAAUGAUAACUUUGUCAAGUUUCGUUUAGACAAGGUUCCCUCUUCUAUUGUCUCUGCCUCAAAUAAUUAUUUGACAAACACUAUAUACUUCUUUUUCCAGGGCAAUAAUAAGUUAAUUGGCAACUUGAAAACCAUCCAGGACUACCUCUGUUCGUUCAAGUCACAGGUAUGAUCAUUUGAGGCCCUAACGAAAGCUCAGACAAACUUCAGGGGUUAAUUUUUUUCCGUGGAAAUAAAUAAAACCUCAACCUAAGAAAAAAGGGGAAAAACGUACCUUUUCUUUUGCUUUUUUUGGCUAAUAGACGUCUUCUUUACUCUUUCAGGCAAUCAUAAAUGCUCAAGUAAUUCAUGAUAAAAGGCUUGUAGUAUUUGUAGGCGUUCUGUUAAGUAAAGUACCACAUCAUAUACGGUUCACGUGGUCUCUAUAAACUCGUCGAAAAAUUGCCAAUUUGCCACCCUCCAGGGACGUAAGAGAGUAUCAAGAAGAUCGCAAAUGUGCAAUCUUGAUACGAAACUACCAUUUUCAGGUGACGCUUUUCACUCUUACUUGUCGUGAUGGUCAUGUGAAACUCUUUGAGUUGAGUUUGAUUUAUUGAAAAAAAAAAUUGUGGUGCAAUUAUUCGGUGCUCUGUUAUCAUGUCUAUAUAUAAUAGAAUUAGUAGUAUAUACUUAAUUUGAUUCUUGAUUAGGAAAUGUUUUGAUUUUUAUGCAACUCGUAAAGGGGCUUUGAGUUUUCAUUUGUAUAUCUGUAUGGUGCAAUAAUAGUUCAAGUAUCUUAUUUUGCUCGACAAUCAGGUGAAGGUGGGCUUGAAGAAAUUAUUAUUGGUACCGCAGCUAUGAAGUGGAUACGACCUCAGCAUACUCCUCUGAGAAGCCGGCAAAUAGUUUAGGCUGCACGAGGAAAAGGAAAUGGCUGAAUGGAGAGGUUUCACAACGAUGUGUAUAUUUUCAAGUAAGUACAUACUUGAACGACGAGCAUAAUUGGUGUUCUUUGUUGUUUAUGCACUUAAAGAGAGGGCCUGCAAUUGAAUAAUUUUCGGAAAAAGUAUAUCGUCACCUACAAGUUCCAAUCUGUUGACACUUAUAUCUUUCUUGAUUUUCUAAUAAUCCAAAUUUCCUGGGAAAAAAAUGAUCAUGUUCUCGAUAACUACAGAUGCAAUAGAAGUUGGCUUCUGAUAUACGAAGAUUGUAUCGUUGCCUAAUGAAUAUCAUGUAGGUGAGAUGCCAAAUAUAGUUUUCCUACCCCUUACACACAUAAGGCACAUGCAAAACCUGUCAUAACCGUAACACCGUUAUUACCUCCUAAACCAACUGUGGAAUUCCCAUUGGUGGAGCUCCACAUGCCAAGGUGGGGCCUAUUUUGGAAGUAGCCGUUUUUAUCCCUAGAUUCAUUGUAACAUAAUGAGUAGACUGUUCAUGCUUACAAAUAAAGGCAUUCGUCUAUAAUCUGAAUGAAAGAUAAAAAAAAAGAGUAAAUUACCUUCUGAAUAGAGUGAAAGGUAAAAAAAAAAGAGUAAAUUACCUUAUGAGUUAAGGUAAACUCCGAAAAAAUUUCUCAUGUUUGAGUAAUUACAACCAUCUCUCAACUAUGAAUUUUCUUACACGUCCACUCUUGUGGUGUCGAAUUUAGUAAAAUCUUCUAGAUUAUGUUGAAUAUUCUCCAGUUUGUACCCGUUUUAUCCAUUCGAGCUCCACAUUUUAAAAUAUGAUCAUCAUAAGAUGUGUCUCUUGGCUCGUAAAUAUUAGAUUAUGGUGCAUCAGAAACUGUAUUUUUGCAAAAAACGAGUACAAACUAGAGAAUAUUUCGUGAAAUCUAGAAGAUUAUGUUGAAUUUGACACGAGAAGGGUGGAUGUAUAAGAAGAUUCAUAGUUAAAGGGUGGUUGUAAUUACCCAAACAUGAGAGACUUUUUCGUAAUUACCCAUCAUGGCCGUAAUUUCGCCUAAAAAAAUGUCUAUAUUUUAAUUUUUUCCCUUUCUUUAACAAACAGGCCCCUAAGUAAUUAUGGUAGGGGCCUAAAUGCAGUUUCUUUGUUCUUUACGUAUUUUCUGCCCGAAACACGUGUCCGCUCUCUUCAAAAUCCUUCUUCUCUCCCGCCGCUGCUUCUUUUCUGGUACCAAGUCACACUUUGCAGCCGCUGUCGUUCUCCGUCGGAAAAAAAACUCAAUUCUUAUGUCUUGGAUAUUACUUUCCAUUUUAUACCUGUUUUCAAGAGUUCUGUUUUCUAAUAAUGGGGUUAAUAUCUCUUGUCCAGUAUACAUAUUCAUGAAACAAAACAAUACCGAGUUUAAUGCUCAUGCUGUAUAAUUUGGAGUUUAAGUUUUGUUUCGAGAUGUUACGUCUGCAAGUGUUGCUAUAUUUUACUCGGAACAAAUGUUGCAUUCAUCUCUGUUC